UGAGCGUGUUGUUGCUGAGUAAUUGGUGCCUUGGAGAGGAAGAAUGAACAUCGGAGUGGAGACGACAAGAAAGAAAAUAUGAAACAGCCAUGAUUUAAGGUUAAAAUUUCAAAAAUUCUCCAGUUGUGCAGCUGGGGCAUGACCUUCAAAGAAGCUCAGCUCCAAAUCAAGCAGUGAAUUCUGAGAGAGUCCUCAAAACCCAGCAGCUGCUACUGAGAUCAAGUAACUCUUGUGUGCGCGCAAGCAAAAGGAUUCUCUGGAAAGGAUCCAGCUACUACUGAUUUUGAGCAGGGAUUCUCAAAUCUGAAUCUUCUCAUUUGAGCAUUGUAAUAUGUAUACACAUUGCUAAUUCAAAGGCUAUUCAAACACUGCUGAAAUUAUAUAUUAAGUGACAACCAGGAACACAUGAAAAUAGCAAAUAAAGAAAAAUUGGCCGCUGUCA